CUUACCUAGUACACAACAAGGCUUAUAUCAACGUUAUUCUCAAUAUAUUUUAUUUUAUUUUAUUAUUUUUUAUUUUAUUUUGUUUUAUUUUGUUUAAUUAUUUUUAUUCUAUUUUAUUAUUUUUAUUUUAUUUUAUUUUAUUUUAUGUGUCAGCUUACCAGGUUCACAACGAGGCUUACAAUUAAAUUACUCUCCAUUUUAUUUUAUUUUAUUUUAUUUUAUUUUAUUUUAUUUUAUUUUGUUUUAUUUCAUUAUUUAAUUAUUUUAUUCUAUUUUAUUUUAUUUUAUGUGUCAGUGUACCAGGUUCACAACGAGGCUUACAAUUAAAUUACUCUCAAUUUUAUUUAAUUUAAUUUAAUUUUAUUUAUUUAUUUAUUUAUUUUUUUUUUAUUUUAUUUUAUUUUAUUUUUUAUAUAUUUAUUUAUAUUGGCCAGCUCACCAAGUACACAACAAGGUUUAUGUCAACAUUAGUCUCAAUAUAUUUUAUUUUUAUAUAUAUUUUAUUUAUUUAUUUAUUUUUGUUUAAUUAUAAUUUUAUUUUCUUAUUUUAUUUUAAUAAAACAACAGUACACAGCAAGUCUUACGUUACUCUCAAUAUAUUUAUUUUAUUUUAUUUUAUAAUAUAAGUUAUUUUUUUUAUUAUAUAUAUAUUAUAUAUAAAAUAAAACAAAAUAAAAUGAGAGAUAUGUAAAUGUAAGUCUUGUUGUGAACCUGGUAAGCUGACACAUAAUAAAAUAAAAUUAUUUAUUUAUUUAUUUUCAUUUUAUUUUAAUCAGAUAACAGUACACAGCAAGUCUUACAUUAACAUUACUGACAAUUUAUCUGUUUUGUUAUUUAUUUUAUUUUAUCUUAUAAGAUAAAACAACAGGGCUUACAAUAAAUGUACUCUCGUUUUUUAUCCUUUAUUUCUUAAUUUCUUCCAUUUUUUUUUAAUAGAAUAAAGAAGAGAACAUCUGAAGAUAACUGAGGCGUUACUGAAUCCUCCGAAAUGCAGCUAAAAACAGCAGGAAAAAAGAGUUUUGCUGGUUCACACUGCAGUGACGUUUCCAUUGUGAGAACGGGCUGUUUUGAGAUAGAAUUCAGGAAAACCUCUCAUUUAGAAACAGCCUAAAAUCGUGCCAUAGUAAAGCUUUGAAUUUGUUUCAGUGGCUUACACUGAUAUGCUGUUCGCCAGAAGGGCCUUCUAGAACAUUUAUAUUAGACAAAUCAAACCAUAAAACACAGCACACACAGAGAUAAGCAGUCUCUGAACAUUUCUAUAGCCUUGAGAGACACUUUUAAACACAGUAGUUCUCCUCUAUUCAUGCUUUAUUCAGGUAUUUCACGUGUGAUUACACUUAAAUGAACUUCGUAAUUGCUCAUAGUUACACUGUAUUGUGCAUGCCUAUGUAAACGUAGUACUUAUGUAGAGCCAGGCCACAGUUACGGCCUAAAUGACAGAGAAAAAGGACUGAAGUGAUGUAAAGGAACAAACAUGUAUGAAAAAUAGCAUUUAGAGGUGAAAACAUAUAGAAACAAACCAGCGAGGCCACAUCAACACCUGCAAAACAUAGAAACAUUUACUUUAAAGUCAACAUGAAAUUAAAAUCAACCCUGUUUACUUUCUUAAUACACGUUUCUAGUCUUAUUUUUAACCACUCACCAAUGCACACAAUUGCAAAUAAAUAAACACAUUCAUGUUUACUUGUAAAAUGGGUUGCAAAUAUCGUUUCAUGUUGACUUUGACAUCAUGCUUAGUUGUUUUGACCCACAGAAACUGUUCAACUUUUUGGACCAAACCUCACGCACGGCCUGCCACGAUCAGUCGACUGUGCAAAUGUGCCACGUGCCACGACAGCACAAUUUCCUCCGAUCGAAACAAGCGAUACUUUCUCCAAACCGUGCCGUCGUCCCAUUAAUAUUUUGUCUGAAAACGAGAAACGCUGCCUCUCGUCUAGGAGUUUACAUCAGGACGUCUACGUUUUUGAAGCUAAUGUGACUGGACAGCACAUUUCACUUUGGGUCCUGAAAAGUAGUCAGUCUCUCACUUAAUAUUCAGGGGACAAAGUGGAUUUUAAGUGCUUUACAGAUCAAACUAAAUAUGUGAUUUAAUAUUAAAGCAGAAAUAAGUUUUGGAUGGAUGGACGGAUUGCCGUAUGGUUACUGUGACUGAUGAUGAACACAAAACAUGAAUCCGUUAUGACAGGUUUCCCUUUAGAUAUGGGGGAUAAUCUCACAAAAAAAAAUGAAUAUAAUAAUUUAAUAAUUUUUAAAUACAUUUUAAAUGUGUUUAUUUAUGUUAUAAAUAUAUAUAAAACAAUAAAUACAUUUUUAAAAAUUAUUAAAUUAUUUUAUAUAUCUGUUGACAGCUAUUUUGAGAACUAUUGUGAUAUUUGGACAUUAUUUUCAUGACAUUUAAGCACAUUUUUCUGUCAUGCACAUUCGCACAUUUGCACAUUAUGCAAAAAUCAUUAUUAUGAGUCUUCACUAUUGCUGAGUUUUGUAAUUGACAUUAUUCUCAGCUUUAUUUUCUCAUUACUGUAAUAAUAUCCAGAAUGAAAAGCUUAAAUAGCUUUAAUACAGUAAUUUUUAGAAAUUAACAACAAAUGCUAUAAUGAUGUAUAAAUACUUGCCUUUAAUUUUUUUCCUAGUAUUGAGGAUUGAGAUUUUUAUUUCAUUAUGUUAUUGAGAAAUUUGGACAAAAAUGUGACCCUGGACUACAAAACCAGUCAUAAGGGUCAAGUUUUUGAAAGUGAGAUUUAUACAUUGAGAUUUAUCUGAAAAAUGAGACAAAACAAUUUGAAAAUCUGGAAUUUGAGGGUGCAAAAAAAUCUAAAUAUUAAAAAAAAAAAAAGCCUUUAAAGUUGUCCAAAUGAGGUCAGAAAUUAGGUUUUGAUAUAUUUACGGUAGGAAAUUUAUAAAAUAUCCCCAUGAAACAUGAUCUUUACUUAAUAUCCUAAUGAUUUUUGGCAUUAAAGAAAAAUCGAUAAUUUUGACCCAUACAAUGUAUUUUUGGCUAUUGCUUAAAAUAUGCCUGUGCUACUUAAAACUGGUUUUGCGGUCCAGGGUCACAAAUGUCCUUAACUGUCAUGAAAAAUAAUGUCACAAUGUGCAAAAAAAUAAAUAAAUAAAUAAUUAAAAUAAAUAAAUAAACAUUGCAAUAAAAUUAUAAAAUAAAAUAAAAUAAAAUAAUGGUCUUAAAAUAAACUUUCUUCAACCCUAAUAUGGAAUGAAUCAGUGAAACAAGUUGGAGUCCAGCAGGGUCCUUAAACACACACACACAUACGACUAAUAGUUGCACAAACAUUCCAGUUCCUGUCGCUCAAGCGGGACGUCUGCCAUCUGUCUGUCUGAACUCGAAUUAGUGAUCAGGGACGGAGCAGCUUUUCAAUUAAACACUGAUCAGAUGAUCACAGCAGAAGGUCACUAUUUAAUCAGCAUUCAAGGGCACAAUUCUGUUCUGUUCGCUUCUACAUCUUCCAUUCAUUCUGCUUUUAAUACCAUAAAACUGAACUCAUUCUGAGACGGGACCCAUGAGAUCAUGGAUGUGUUUGGAAUCGCACACUAACAUAUUAUACUGUUUUCGCAGUAUGCAUACUAUUCUUUUCUCUACUGCAUUUAUCAAAUACACAAUAUGCAACAAAGCAAUACCCUAGUGGUCAAACGAUUAAUCGCAAUUAAUAGCAUCCAAAAUUAAUUCAUUUAAUUGAUAUUGUAUAUAAAUAUUUAUAAUAUAUAAACAUAACAUUUUUCUUAAAUAUUUACAUGUGUGUGUAUUUAUAUACAGUAUACAUAAUAUAUGUACACAGCACACACACACAAAUUAUGUAAACAAAAACUUUUAUUUUGGAUGUGAUUAAUCGCGAUUAAUCGUUUGACAGCACUAAUAGCAAUGCAUUAAAAUCAAUAUUAUACACUGUAAAAAAAAUGCUUUUUUAAAGCUGUAAAUAAAGAUGAUUGAGAAAAUACAAUUUCAGUUUUUCUACUUCAAAAUGUCAUGUUUAAUUCAAUGCGUUACUUGCCAGUUCUUUUUAAUUAUUUGUAAAAUUUACUAGUAAUUUCUGAAUUAAAAUUGCCUCUACACCUUUUUUUUAAAGUGUACUUUAAAUUUAAAUUCAUAAAACAUUUUUGUUACUAUAAAAUAAACAUUAACUUAAUAAAAUAAAAUACACAGAAACCUAUGUUAUUUACUGAAUUUAUUUCAGCUAAUUGCCAAGGCAACAUUUCAACUUGAUGUACUCAAAUAACUAAAACUAAAAUAAAAAUUAGUUAAAUAAAUAAAAUAUGGACAUGUAGAGAUAAAAACACACAUAAAAAUUUCUGAAACAUUCACUAAAAUUAAAAUGAAACUUAUAUAAAACUCUAUAUAAAACUAAAAACUAAUUCAAAAAUUAAUAGAAACUACAAUAUCAUCUAAUUUAUACACAGAUAACAGAUUCACACAGUAUCACGACUUUGGUAUCACAUUUUUUAUAAGUAAAUAUACUGCUAGCCUAUUUUUACAACUGCACUGGAAAUAAAAAUUGGUGUUUUUUUUUUUUACAAAUUAUUACAAAUAAAUGGCAAGUAACAUUAAACAAAAUGCAAGCAUUUGAAGUAGAUUAGGUGAAAUAGCAUUUUCUUUUUAAAGAAAAUACUUGCCGUAUCUUUGUAAUUCUUUGUAAUUAUUUACUACACCUAUUUUUAAUUUUUUUUGUGUGUGCGUACUUCACUAAAUCUAAAAUCAUAAAACCUUUUUUAAACAUUACUUUAAAAUAAAAUAAAUUAACUGAAUAAAAUAAAAUGCACAGAAACCUAUUUCAAUUACUGAUUUAAUUGCCAACAUUUCAACUAAAAAUACUAAAAUAACUAAAACUAAAAAAAAGAUAGAAUAAAUUAAAAAAAAUGGACAUGUAUAAAUAAAAACACAUGAAAAUUUCUGAAACGUUACCUAAAAUUUAAAUGAAACCUAUAUAAAACACUAUAUAAAAAUAAAAACUAAUUCAAAAAUGCAGAGAAACUACAAUAUUAUCUAAUUUAUACAAAAAUAACAUAUACACAGAACUUUGGUAUCACAUUUUAAAUAUACUAAUAGCAUAUUUUUACAACUGCGCUGUAUUUUUUAUUUUUUUUUACAAAUGAUUACAAAUAAAUGGCAAGUAAAACGUUAAAUAAAAUGCAAAAUUUUAAAGUAGCAUGACUGAAAUAGUGUUUUCUUUUAAAACAUUUUUGAAAAAUGAUUUUUUUACAGUGUGUUUUAAAAGUUAUUGCAUACUGCAUCCCAGAUUGACAUUUUACACACAAAAAACCCAGUAUGAAGUAUGCAGUGUAUACUAGUAUUCCGUUCCAAACUUAUCCUACGUAUCAACAGAACAUUCCUAGCCGUGCGGCAGCUGAUCCACGCAGUGGCACAUGCAAUUUUUUGUCCGGAUGUUUCUAAACCUGUGGCUCAUACUAACAUACAUGCUGUACAAACAUGAAUUCUCAUGCUCUAUUUCAAUUUUUAUUCUAUUUAUUGCCAAAAAAAGAGAAAACUAGUUCUUCUUUCAUAGCUUGCCCUGCCUAUAGUUCUUUAAAUCACUCUUUGUGCAUGCGAAUUGCUAGAGACGUAGAGAGACAUUUUUGUAGUAAAAGAUCUAGAAAACAUAAAAAUGCACCAUUUUCUGCUUUUGAUUUUCAACCAGUACCUCCUCGGGUAACGGUCAAAGCUUCAAGGCGACUAGCGGAGGUCACGCUUUGUAGUGUUCAAGCGUGUUAUCAUGCAGUACGGAUAUCACGGAAACAUAGCGCCGCGUUUGGACUCGUUGGACAUGCUCUUCAGGGUUCGGGCUAUUUUGGGAGUAUGUUUUACAAACUGUGUUUUUUAUUCAUAUGAUGUUACUACCUGAACUAAGCCAUGUCCUCUUCCUUCAUACUCCCCAUAUACUGCCAUAGUCCUCUGCUAGAGCCAACGCUGCAUACGAUAUACAAACACACAAACCUCAAGCUUUCCAUCCAUGUUUUGCUUUUCUUUUCUGAUUUGUUGGCUGGAGCCAGUACUCCGAAUGUUUUGUACAGAUGAAAAUGGUUUAGGAUGUUAUAGAUUAAUCUACUGGUAUGAUAUUCCUAUGAAUGGUUCUCUUUAUAUAUGUCGAGGUUAUGAAUGCAAAGGGACGGGCUCAUGAAAUCUGUAUUAUUGAUAGCACAGAACGCUUCUUUCAGGUACAAUAGGGAGUCGCGCAAAAGCGUCCGGCGCUUUUUGUCACGACCCCGAUCCGGGAUCGGCUCUACAACACGAGACCUGGGUCGGAGACGGAAAACCUCUCGGGCUGGCUUUGCUACGGACGAUUGUGUUAUAUCUUAGGGUUUCUUAGCACAAUAUACAAACAGAUGUAAGCUAAAUAAUGAAUCUAUGUUUAAAUGCUAUGGAGGGAAGUGUGGGACACGAGCGGACGUUCCCGUAACAUCUGCACGAUGAGUUCAAGCCCUUCGCUGGAGGUGUAAAGGAGCAAACCUUCCUUUUCGUUUCAUUUUCGAAGAACAACAGACCAGUUUUGUCCCAUUAUCUUCCCUCUUGAACUUGCUGCUUUGACAAUUUAAUGUGUAAAAGGUUUUAAUUACGGUGAUCUAUUUAUUGUUUCGCUCAUUAAUUUAUUGGAUUAUUUUUAUGAUUAGAAUUUGAUCAUUUGCAUUGGUUUAUUUAUAUAUUUAUGUAUGAACUUAUGUUUAUCAUUUCUGACAUAAUAUGUAUAAAUGAUGCUUAUUGGGGCUUUUUCUGUCUUUCUUCUUUUUUCAAUUUUACAAUAAAAAAUUAUAAAUGCUUA